GACGAACGCUGGCGGCGUGCUUAACACAUGCAAGUCGAGCGGAAAGGCCCUUUCGGGGGUACUCGAGCGGCGAACGGGUGAGUAACACGUGAGUAAUCUGCCCUGGACUCUGGGAUAGCCACCGGAAACGGUGAUUAAUACCGGAUAUGACACCUUGCUGCAUGGUGGGGUGUGGAAAGUUUUUUCGGUCCAGGAUGUGCUCGCGGCCUAUCAGCUUGUUGGUGAGGUAAUGGCUCACCAAGGCUUUGACGGGUAGCCGGCCUGAGAGGGUGACCAGUCACGCUGGGACUGAGACACAGCCCAGUCUCCUACGGGAGGCAGCAGUGGGAAAUAUUGGACAAUGGGCGGAGGCCUGAUCCAGCAACGCCGCGUGAGGGAUGGCGGCCUUCGGGUUGUAAACCUCUUUCAGUACCGACGAAGCGUGAGUGACGGUAGGUACAGAAGAAGCCCCGGCUAACUUCGUGCCAGCCGCCGCCGUAACAC
rnacentral:rRNA from 1 species